UUAAAUAAAAUCGGUGUUGUUGCUGCCUUUCGUGGUAACGCAUCGGAAUUGAGUAGUCUUACCUUCGGUUAAGUGACUUAAAAUUUUAUGUGAUUUUUAAACAUAUUUAAACAAUUUACUUAUGUUUGAAUCAAUUGUGAUUAGGUUCGGUCAUCCUCAUGAUUCCGCGCCUAUAAUUUUUCAUU
rnacentral:misc_RNA from 1 species